UCAGUGUUGUGCAAAAACCAACACCACCACAAGGUUCCCAAGAGAGAUCCGACCAAACCCCAGCAAACCCCACUGGAAAACUGCCCUUCACGCGCCAGAUUUAUCAAGGCAGAUCCGACUCACGCGCCCCACGCGCCCCACGCGCCGGCAUGUGAGCACUGUUCCGGUGAGAUUUUGACGAAGGUCCUUCAGGGCAGUUGGAUCGCCCUCAAAUUCCGAGCCUACCCAUAUUUUUACUUUUCAAUUCCGACCACUAUGAAGUUUUCCGGCAUCUACAGUGAUUUAUUCCGGGAUCUACAGUAAUUAUCUG
rnacentral:lncRNA from 1 species